CCUACGGGAGGUAGCAGUGGGGAAUCUUGCACAAUGGGCGCAAGCCUGAUGCAGCCAUGCCGCGUGUAUGAAGAAGGCCUUCGGGUUGUAAAGUACUUUCAGUCGUGAGGAAGGUGUUAAGGUUAAUAACCUUAGCAAUUGACGUUAGCGACAGAAGAAGCACCGGCUAACUCCGUGCCAGCAGCUGCGGUAAUACGGAGGGUGCGAGCGUUAAUCGGAAUUACUGGGCGUAAAGGGCACGCAGGCGGUUAAUUAAGUUGGAUGUGAAAUCCCCGGGCUUAACCUGGGAAUGGCAUUCAAGACUGGUUAGCUAGAGUCUUGUAGAGGGGGGUAGCAUUCGACGUGUAGCGGUGAAAUGCGUAGAGAUGUGGAGGAAUACCGGUGGCGAAGGCGGCUGACUGGACAUGUAUUGACGCUGAGGUGCGAAAGCGUGGGGAGCAAACAGGAUUAGAUACCCUUGUAGUC
rnacentral:rRNA from 1 species